rnacentral:lncRNA from 1 species
AAUUUGGUUAUUCCCCUUUGUGUGCUUUGGUGUGUUGUCGCCAUAGUUGGUUUACUAUGUGAAAAUCACAUUUUGGUAGUUGUUAUUAUUGUUGUUUCGGUCUAGUGCAAAAUUUGUUUUAUCUUCGGAAUGACGAGAGCAAAACUUGCACUUUGCUUGAAAAUACAAAUCUUGGAUUGUUGCAUUGGACAUUUAAAGUGGAUUUUCUAGAAAAGAAUAUAUUUGUGAAAUAGUAUCUUCAGGGGUCAUUUUUGUGAUGACUGUGAUUGGAUUUGUGUUAGUACCAUCUUCAUAGUAUUUGUGUGAUUUGGGAUUAUAAUUUGGAAUCAUCCAAAUUCUUCAGUUUGGGUUUAUAUUUCAUACAAAAGAAUCCNNN